rnacentral:rRNA from 1 species
UACGUAGGGUGCGAGCGUUAAUCGGAAUACUGGGCGUAAAGCGUGCGCAGGCGGUGAUGUAAGACAGAUGUGAAAUCCCGGGCUCAACCUGGACCUGCAUUUGUGACUGCAUCGCUAGAGUACGGCAGAGGGGGUGGAAUUCCGCGUGUAGCAGUGAAAUGCGUAGAUAUGCGGAGGAACACCAGUGGCGAAGGCGGCUACCUGGACCGGUUCUGACGCUGAUGCGCGAAAGCGUGGGUAG